rnacentral:rRNA from 1 species
UACGGGAGGCAGCAGUGAGGAAUAUUGGUCAAUGGGCGAGAGCCUGAACCAGCCAAGUAGCGUGAAGGAUGACUGCCCUAUGGGUUGUAAACUUCUUUUGUUUGGGAAUAAAGUGGGUCACGUGUGGCCUUUUGUAUGUACCUUACGAAUAAGCAUCGGCUAAUUCCGUGCCAGCAGCCGCGGUAAU